UUUCUGACAUAAACUAAUUCUUGCCACAGAUCCUCAAGAGCUCACCAAUGGCAGCUGUUGCUGCAGCACCACAGUCUGAAGAAAUCUCCUUUCCCGACACUGAAAUGCCAAGCACAAGCACCGGGAAAGGAGACACUCGGAAGAAAAGCAUUCCAAAGGAAAUCACGCACCGGCCGCCAAAGCUAUUGCCACUAACACGACGUUUCCUUGAUGACCUCAAGGGCAUUGUGAGUGAGGGGAACCCUACGAAGAAAUACACUGUACAGCAGAUAAUUGGCCAAGGGACUUUUGGAACAGUUUUCCGAGGAGUUGACAUUGCCACAGGAGGACAGGUAAGGGCCAGCACCCCCGGCAGAUUGUGCAGCUCUCGAGUGCUUUCCCCUCCGCUGGGAGCUGUGGCCACAGCUCUGGGUGGCCACGAGAUCUUUGCUGCAGAGACUGUUCCUCUGAGGGCAGACAAGUGUCAGCCUGCAACACACGGUUUGG